UACGAAGGGGGCUAGCGUUGCUUGGAAUCACUGGGCGUAAAGGGUGCGUAGGCGGGGCCUUAAGUCAGGGGUGAAAUCCUGGAGCUCAACUCCAGAACUGCCCUUGAUACUGGGAGCCUUGAGUUCGGGAGAGGUGAGUGGAACUGCGAGUGUAGAGGUGAAAUUCGUAGAUAUUCGCAAGAACACCAGUGGCGAAGGCGGCUCACUGGCCCGAUACUGACGCUGAGGUGCGAAAGCGUGGGGAGCAAACAGG
rnacentral:rRNA from 1 species